UUGAACGCUGGCGGCAGGCCUAACACCUGCAAGUCGAGCGGAUGAAGGGAGCUUGCUCCUGGAUUCAGCGGCGGACGGGUGAGUAAUGCCUAGGAAUCUGCCUGGUAGUGGGGGAUAACGUCCGGAAACGGGCGCUAAUACCGCAUACGUCCUGAGGGAGAAAGUGGGGGAUCUUCGGACCUCACGCUAUCAGAUGAGCCUAGGUCGGAUUAGCUAGUUGGUGGGGUAAAGGCCUACCAAGGCGACGAUCCGUAACUGGUCUGAGAGGAUGAUCAGUCACACUGGAACUGAGACACGGUCCAGACUCCUACGGGAGGCAGCAGUGGGGAAUAUUGGACAAUGGGCGAAAGCCUGAUCCAGCCAUGCCGCGUGUGUGAAGAAGGUCUUCGGAUUGUAAAGCACUUUAAGUUGGGAGGAAGGGCAGUAUGUUAAUACCUUGCUGUUUUGACGUUACCAACAGAAUAAGCACCGGCUAACUUCGUG
rnacentral:rRNA from 1 species